UAAUUAGCGAUCAGCUGCUCGCAACAAGCAAAGAAGAUUGCGAAAAUGGGAAAAAUUGUUUUUGCCUUCCCAAAGAAGAGAGCGCGAAAAAACCCGUGUCCUCCUCGCCUCUCCUCCCCUCCUCUGUGUAUGGAGCGGCGCCCAGCGACUGGAUUCCGCGCCGGGAGACUCACCCUGAACGCGUAUGUCGGUCUGGCUCGGCAGUUUCACGCACGGAAAAUGAAUUAGACGCUGGAGGAAAAACAAGCGCGUCCGAUCGCUUUCACUCUUCCUUCUCUGUCGUGUGUGUGUGAGUGUGUGUGUAUGUGUGUGUGGGUGUUUUGAGUUUGAGUUUGAGAUUCGUUUGCUUGUUUUUCCCCGCUUGGCUCCACUUGGACACACGCAAAUCAGAUUCACAAAUCCAUAGAAAACUUUUUUGUAGUAAAAGAACAAAAAAAGUUGCCUACCUUUGGGUGCUUUUUUCAGCAUCCACAAAAUGGCUUAAGAAUAGGAUUUAAUGGCGGCAAGAAAGCAAUGUAAAAAGGGUUUGGGCACGAUUGCCUGAACAAUGAAAAUUUGGCCAACACAAAAAGUUGAUUUAAUUAAACACGAAACACCCUUAAGAGAA